UUUGAAGGCUGUUUUGCCACAAGAUGGCGAUCUUCAGAUCAAUGUCAAAGCCGCCCAAGGCGACGGGAGCAGCCCUGCAAAAAAAAAUCUUGGCCUUUGUUCAUUUUGCAUCCCUGGAGCCGCACGGAUAAUUAUUGCACUUACCGGGCUCCGCGUUACAAAAAGCCGCUCGGGAUGCCGGGGGAGGGGAGGGAGCUGACGGGGCUUCUCGGUGGAGUUAAAGCCUCUGAGCUUUGGAUUGGAACAUGGGCGGAGGGAAUUGUUGCAAGUGUAGUUAAAAGCACAUGCUCAGUCGGUAGAGAGCUGUUUUGAAAUGCCUUUCGGAACCGAUCGAUUUCAUCAAAGAUGCUGCAUUAAAAGCUCGGGAAUGUUUCUCUCUAACCUCCCCUUAGCAAUGCCAAGAAGUGAGAAGCAACUCCUCGGAAAAUAGCAGGAUGAGUUGAGGGUCCCUUUGCAACAUUUCAUUUUACGCCAGUCAAGUUAAACUCAGCAUAUUUGAUCAAAUAUUUAUUUUUCCCCUCGUUGUUUCCCUGCCCCAUUCAAUACUCGGCUGAAUAAAUCAAAGGGACCCUAGCAGCAGUUAAAGCGCCCUCUGGUUACGGAUUUUUUACUGACGGCCGCAGUCACAGGAUAAUAUUUAAAAAAAACAAACUUGUUUCUUACAAUAACUGUUUAUUAUUUCACAUGAUUUGGGUUUGCAUAUUUUGGAGGGAAGUGGCGAAGCCAACUCAGUGUCUACACUGUGUUUAAUUAAUCGUGUACUCAACUUCAGCUCACAUACCACAUUAAAACCCCCGGGAGGCUUUUUCAUAAACUCUUUGGGUUUCUGUUUUGUUGUCUUCUUCUUUUUUUUCUUUUUUGUCACAAUCUUUUAAUUAAAUGCUCUGAAAUCGAAACUUCAGGCCAAAGUGUGUGUCUGAGAGCCAAGUUGUACCGCAACCAAAAAAGACAUUUGUGUAUGCAUCCAGAUCUUUUUUAAAGGAAAGACAGCUACAAAAAGGGGAGAAGGGAUACAGUUUCAAAUGCCUAAUACAGCUGUGCGACCCAUCUCUUACAGCAGAAGGGGUACACUUAAAAGACGAGCUGGGGUAUGUACGAUUUCCCUGACACAUGUUAUAACCCGAUACUGCUGUUGCUUCUGCCGGCGUUCGGGGCUCUCUGGACAAUAGAAAGCCCCGUUGUUCUCGCCGGUGCCGAGGAAAGGCGAGGAGAUGAAGUCCUAAUGAGUUGGUUGGGUGUAUUUUGUCCUGCCACACACUAGAGUUUAGAGCUCGUCGGACUUACUUGCAAAAUAUGCUCCUAAUCCAAAUGAGUAAAACGAUACACAUAUACUAUAAAACAUGGUUAGGAGAACAAGCCUCCGGAUGGCUGGAAUAAAAUUAAAUCUCAGCCUAAGUUUUAACAGGAUAAUCCGCCAAAACAAGCCAACCUCACCACCACAACCAGCAUGAAAGAAUUUAUAGUAAAGAUAAAAUUAGUGGGGCCGUCAUUUGUCACCUAACUUGGCACAGACACAGUUCCUAAACCUCCUGUUUGAAAUCCGCCUUCUUUGGAGCAAUUCCAGGAAAAAAAAAAAACAACAAAACCAACAAAAAACCCACCACACAAAAGGAGGAAUCUGGCACACACGCACGUUCUUGACAACUGACAGUUCCAGUAUUAAAUAACUAUACUCUGAUUGCAUUAAUUUUUGGAGCUGUAUAAAACGUAAUUCGCGGCUGUAUUCUCAGAUAGGCGGUUCAUGCACUCCUGCAACAGCCUGCAAGGCCAUUUAUGUUUUCACGAAUUGCCGUUUGCCCGUGUCUACAAAUAAAAGCAUAUUUUAAUUAGCUGGCAAAACGCGUCUAUGGAUUAACAGUGCUGAUCUUUUGGGUUAUACAAGCCAAUAAUAAUAAGAUAAAUCACAGUUUAACAUGAUCCAUUUUGCGAUUUCCAGUCAGAGUUUGCUCUGGCUGAGCUGUCGGGUUUUAUUUAUUCCCUUUUUGUUUUUAAUUUUAGUCCCACCAAUAAAACGGCUUAACGACGCUA